rnacentral:rRNA from 1 species
AGUGAACGCUGGCGGUAUGCCUAACACAUGCAAGUCGAACGGCAGCACAGUAAGAUCUUGCUCUUACGGGUGGCGAGUGGCGGACGGGUGAGGAGUACAUCGGAAUCUACUUUUUCGUGGGUGAUAACGUAGGGAAACUUACGCUAAUAGCUCAUACGACCUACGGGUGAAAGCAGUGGAUCUUCGGACCUUUCGCGAUUGAAUGAGCCGAUUUCGGAUUAGCUAGUUGGCAGGGUAAAGGCCCACCAAGGCGACGAUCCGUAGCUGGUCUGAGAGGAUGAUCAGCCACACUGGAACUGAGACACGGUCCAGACUCCUACGGGAGGCAGCAGUGGGGAAUAUUGGACAAUGGGCGCAAGCCUGAUCCAGCAAUACCGCGUGGGUGAAGAAGGCCUUCGGGUUGUAAAGCCCUUUUGUUGGGAAAGAAAAGCAGCAGAUUAAUACCCCGCUGUUCUGACGGUACCCAAAGAAUAAGCACCGGCUAACUUCGUG